UACGUAGGGUGCGAGCGUUAAUCAGAAUUACUGGGCGUAAAGGGUGCGCAGGCGGCGUCGCAAGUCAGGCGUGAAAUCCCCGGGCUCAACCCGGGAACUGCGUCCGAUACUGGAAGGCUUGAAUCCGGGAGAGGGAUGCGGAAUUCCAGGUGUAGCGGUGAAAUGCGUAGAUAUCUGGAGGAAUACCGGUGGCGAAGGCGGCAUCCUGGACCGGCAUUGACGCUGAUGAGCGAAAGCUAGGGGAGCAAACGGG
rnacentral:rRNA from 1 species